rnacentral:piRNA from 1 species
UGGAAAUAGGCUUGUAUCCCAAUUAAC